rnacentral:rRNA from 1 species
AAUGAACGCUGGCGGCAUGCCUUACACAUGCAAGUCGAACGGCAGCAUGACCUCGCUUGCUAGGUUGAUGGCGAGUGGCGAACGGGUGAGUAAUGCAUCGGAACGUGCCUUUUAGUGGGGGAUAACGUAGCGAAAGUUACGCUAAUACCGCAUAUUCUCUGAGGAGGAAAGCAGGGGACCUUCGGGCCUUGCGCUAGAAGAGCGGCCGAUGUCGGAUUAGCUAGUUGGUGAGGUAAAGGCUCACCAAGGCAACGAUCCGUAGCGGGUCUGAGAGGAUGAUCCGCCACACUGGGACUGAGGCACGGCCCAGACUCCUACGGGAGGCAGCAGUGGGGAAUUUUGGACAAUGGGCGCAAGCCUGAUCCAGCCAUGCCGCGUGAGUGAAGAAGGCCUUCGGGUUGUAAAGCUCUUUCGGCUGGGAAGAAAUCGCACCCUCUAAUACAGGGUGUGGAUGACGGUACCAGCAUAAGAAGCACCGGCUAACUACGUG